rnacentral:rRNA from 1 species
CAGUAGCACGGUAAUACAGAGGGUGCAAGCGUUAAUCGGAAUUACUGGGCGUAAAGCGCGCGUAGGUGGUUUGUUAAGUUGGAUGUGAAAUCCCCGGGCUCAACCUGGGAACUGCAUCCAAAACUGGCAAGCUAAAGUAUGGUAGAGGGUGGUGGAAUUUCCUGUGUAGCGGUGAAAUGCGUAGAUAUAGGAAGGAACACCAGUGGCGAAGGCGACCACCUGGACUGAUACUGACACUGAGGUGCGAAAGCGUGGGGAGCAAACAGGAUUAGAUACCCGCGUAGUCCCUGUCUCUUAUACA